ACGCUCGACACCUACGUGAGGCAGCAGUGGGGGAAUAUUGCACAAUGGGGGAAACCCUGAUGCAGCGACGCCGCGUGAGUGAAGAAGUAUUUCGGUAUGUAAAGCUCUAUCAGCAGGGAAGAAGAUGACGGUACCUGAGUAAGAAGCCCCGGCUAACUACGUGCCUGCAGGCCGCGGUAAUCUGAGGCGGGCUGGACAAGGC
rnacentral:rRNA from 1 species